rnacentral:tRNA from 1 species
GGAGCCGCAAAUAGCGAAAUUUAAAAUUCAGACUAAGCAUGUAGAUGCCGUUGUGGAAUGUUUCCGGACGCGGGUUCGACUCCCGCCGCCUCCACCA